GCGUGACAUACUCGUCCUCCGCCGGCGGAGAUGCAGGCGGCCGCCUCGUGGAGCAAGGGCCUCCCGGGCCUGCAGAGCCACCUCUGCGUGGCGGCGUUGUUCCACUCCACACCCCCUCGUCCGCCAAGUGGAAGGGAAAGUUCGAUUGCAAGUAGACCCAUUCGAUUACCGUCUUCAUCUUUUGCUAGUUAAUUCCUUGGUGAUGGCGACAGAUUUGGUUGAGGCCUUGACGCUUCAGUGAUGCCGGCCAAACGGAAAGAUUUGCUGUUGGCGGCACUAGGUGGACAAGUUGUACCUUCGGAGUAGUACUACAUCAACCUGAUGGAACCUUCAAGUUAUUUCAUUGAUUUUCCAUGAAUAUAUACUACUACAGCAGCCUGUUACUAUUUCUACAUGCCAUCCUUUUUAUUUUCAGUAGUGAUUUUGAUGCACAAAUGCUUGUGAGAAUAUGAUGCUUUAGCCUAGAUAUAUGAUCCAAAGUAUGUUGCUGCUAGUGCUAGGUCCUCGUUGUGGUUUUCUAACUUCGCAGCGCUGAUGAUAUCUUUUAUGUUACACCUGAAAUUUUCUAUUGAAGUCGUUAGGCUAAGUAGUUGCUUGUAGGACUUGAGCAUCGGUUCUCCUAUGAAAAUCAUGUGUGUUUGAUUGUAUAAUUAUCUUGGGUUCAUCUACACUUGGUACCUUGUAUCAAGCUUGAACAUCAAGGUGCUAGACCAUGGUUAGCCCGAGUCUUUGUUCAACUUCAUAUUAGUAGAAAGCAAUGUCAAUGUGUCCUAGUUUGGCUGUUUCAUCUGCUCCAGCGCCAUCUGAUGAGGUGCCUGGAUCUAGGUGCUAUCCCCGCCUUUGUGUCGAGUCAUUCAAUUUGUGGUCGCAUAGUAGCAUCAGUGUUGUGAACUAAUGUUUAGCACGGAUGAUGUACAUACGGUGUGUCUACACAAGAGACUAUCUAAUCCCACCCAAUUAAUGGUUGUUUUAAUCAUGCUGCUGGUUUUAAUCAUGGAUAUGGGAGAAUGCAUGAUGGACAUGCUGGUUGGUUAAUAUUCCUCUCUGUGAUAGUGCAUUAGGAACUCUGCAUGCUGCUUUCCUUUGUCUCAUCAUCUUAACUACUACAGUAGUAGGAGUAUUUUAUAUGCUGUCCAUUUCUUGGCCACCCAGCAUGUUUACUAAUCAUCCAUCUGCCUCAUGUUAUAUGAUCCCUGCCUAGUAACUUCAUUAUAUGCAGACUUGUGGUGUUGGUUCAGUUUAGUCAGAUUAAUAUAUAUACUGCUAUGCUACUACUACUACUUGUGGCAAGGAAUAGAAGAUCUGUUAAGUAUGGAGUUAGGAUUAUCUAAUAAAAUUUCUGCGAUAUAUAUAUAUAUGCAUGAAACUGAGAUUGGUAGCAUCAUUUACAGAAGAUACACCCUUUGAAUUGAACGGAUUGGUUCAGUUUCGUGUACUCUUCACCCAGCCUUCUAUCAUGCUUGUAACUAGUGCUCUGCUCAUGUUGUAAGACAGGAUUUUCACUUCCUGCCAUCCCAGCAUUCUAUCAUGAUUACAAGAUUUUUCUUUGCACGGCAGCAGCACUAGUACCUUGCUGCUGUUGGGAACGGAAGGGAGCUGUUCCAUGCACCGAAUCCAGGGAGAAAAUCACCUUCGGCAUGAACGCCAUCACCUUGGGCAUGCUCGUGGCGCUGCUGCUCGGCCUCAACAUGUCAUGGAGUGCCAUUACCGUCGCCCUCACGAUCAUCUUCCUUGACUUCAAGGACUCCCGCCCCUGCCUCGAGAAGGUAAUUGUCUGUCCGCCCGUCUAUUUGCAGUUAACUAAGUUGUGCCCCAUUGAUGUCCUACUAUUGUUAAUUGUUACUACCAUGGUGUCGAUGCUGUUCAGAAUAUGAUAUGUGCCAUAAUUCUAAGUUCUGGUCUCUCUUAAGAGACACUUCUAGCUUUUCUGACUCAAAGUUGUUAACUUGGUAGUGCAUGAGUUUUUACUACUGCUUACACAGAGAGUAUUUUCUACUACUAAAACAAAGAUUUUGUAUGCACUGCUACCUGAUGAGUGCUUUCUUUGUAAUAUUUCACCUUGGCAUGCAUAUGUUUGUUUGGUUUGAACUUUGCAUGACAUGAUAUAAUUAUUUCCAGUGUUUUUCUCAACUUAUUUUCAUUGACACUUGAUAUAUACUUAGCUUGUACUUGAAGUUGUGGGUUAAUGUGGUGAUUUUGUUCUACUUGGAUGCAUUGGUACCCCCAUAAUCGAGCGCAUGGAUGCAAUGGCAAGAAGAUCAUGGCUGUGCGCAUCAUCAAGCACACCACGGAGAUAAUCGACCUCCUCACCGAUGGUGAAGGUUUUCAAAUGUUGAAGCAGGAGGACAAUAGGAACUUCUGUGAUGUCUUGUCAUCUAUUUUCUUUUCUUUGCUGUAGAAUAGUUUUGUUUGGCACUUACUGGUUCCUUGGACAUAAAGAUAUGUACUGCUAGAAUGAAUGCAUGUAAAGAUAUUUUCUUUUGUUUGAUGUACAAUAUUCCAUGUUGCUUUGAAAAUGUACCGGAACUGGGCUAGGCCCAAGAUAACUUAUAGUGUGAUGUGUUGUAAUGUUAAUGGCAUAAUAAAAGAAGUUGGAUUGGAUCAAUUA